rnacentral:rRNA from 1 species
AAGCUCGUAGUUGAACCUCGGGAUCAAUGGGUCGGUCAUGCCAAUGGUAUGUACUGGCCUCAUUGGUUCUCACCUUCUAAGGAACCAUGAUGUCAUUCAUUUGAUGUUGUGGGGAAUUAGGACUGUUACCUUGAAAAAAUUAGAGUGUUUAAAGCAGGCUAACGCUUGAAUACAUUAGCAUGGAAUAAUGAAAUAGGACAUCGCAUUCUAUUUUGUUGGUUUCUAGGAUCGAUGUAAUGAUUAAUAGGGAUAGUUGGGGGCAUUAGUAUUCAAUUGUCAGAGGUGAAAUUCUUGGAUUUAUUGAAGACUAACUACUGCGAAAGCAUUUGCCAAGGAUGUUUUCAUUAAUCAAGAACGAAAGUUAGGGGAUCGAAGACGAUCAGAUACCGUCGUAGUCUUAACCAUAAACUAUGCCGACUAGGGAUCGGAUGAUGUUGAUUUUUUAAUGACUCAUUCGGCACCU